rnacentral:rRNA from 1 species
AGAGUUUGAUCCUGGCUCAGGAUGAACGCUGACAGAAUGCUUAACACAUGCAAGUCUUUGGCGAAGCUGUGCUUGCACAGCCUAGCCAAGGCGGACGGGUGAGUAACGCGUAAGGAACUUGCCCUGCAGUCAGGGAUAACAGACGGAAACGACUGAUAAGACCUGGUAAAGUCAGGCGGACUCAUGUCCAGCCUGAUGAAAAGAGAUGCUGCAGGAGAGCCUUGCGUCCUAUUAGCUUGUUGGUGGGGUAACGGCCCACCAAGGCGAUGAUAGGUAGCCGGCCUGAGAGGGUGGACGGCCACAAGGGGACUGAGAUACGGCCCUUACUCCUACGGGAGGCAGCAGUGGGGAAUAUUGGACAAUGGGGGCAACCCUGAUCCAGCAAUUCUGUGUGCACGAAGACGGUUUUCGGAUUGUAAAGUGCUUUCAGCAGGGAAGAAGAAAGUGACGGUACCUGCAGAAGAAGCGACGGCUAAAUACGUGCCAGCAGCCGCGGUAAUACGUAUGUCGCGAGCGUUAUCCGGAAUUAUUGGGCAUAAAGGGCAUCUAGGCGGCCAGAUAAGUCCGAGGUGAAAACUGCCGGCUCAACCAGCAGCUUGCCUUGGAAACUACCUGGCUAGAGUAUUGGAGAGGUGGACGGAACUACACGAGUAGAGGUGAAAUUCGUAGAUAUGUGUAGGAAUGCCGAUGAUGAAGAUAGUCCACUGGACAGCAACUGACGCUGAAGUGCGAAAGCUAGGGGAGCAAACAGGAUUAGAUACCCUGGUAGUCCUAGCUGUAAACGAUGAUUACUGGGUGUGGGCAUGAAGAGUGUCUGUGCCGAAGCUAAUGCGAUAAGUAAUCCGCCUGGGGAGUACGACCGCAAGGUUGAAACUCAAAGGAAUUGACGGGGACCCGCACAAGCGGUGGAGCAUGUGGUUUAAUUCGACGCAACGCGAGGAACCUUACCAGAUCUUGACAUCCUACGUAGGCCUGUGAGAACAGGCUGUGCCUUCGGGAACGUAGAGACAGGUGGUGCAUGGCUGUCGACAGCUCGUGUCGUGAGAUGUUGGGUUAAGUCCCGCAACGAGCGCAACCCCU